rnacentral:rRNA from 1 species
UAGUUCCUACGGGGGGCAGCAGUAGGGAAUCUUCCACAAUGGGCGAAAGCCUGAUGGAGCAACGCCGCGUGGGUGAAGAAGGUCUUCGGAUCGUAAAACCCUGUUGUUAGAGAAGAAAGUGCGUGAGAGUAACUGUUCACGUUUCGACGGUAUCUAACCAGAAAGCCACGGCUAACUACGUGCCAGCAGCCGCGGUAAUACGUAGGUGGCAAGCGUUAUCCGGAUUUAUUGGGCGUAAAGGGAACGCAGGCGGUCUUUUAAGUCAGCGGUCAAGGCCCGGGG